UACGGGGGGAGCAAGCGUUGUUCGGAUUUACUGGGCGUAAAGGGCGCGUAGGCGGUCAGCACAAGUCAGUUGUGAAAUCUCCGGGCUUAACCCGGAAAGGUCAACUGAUACUGUGCGACUAGAGUGCGGAAGGGGCAACUGGAAUUCUCGGUGUAGCGGUGAAAUGCGUAGAUAUCGGGAGGAACACCUGUGGCGAAGGCGGCCCCCUGGUUGGAUACUGACGCUGAUACGCGAAAGCGUGGGGAGCAAACAGGG
rnacentral:rRNA from 1 species